rnacentral:lncRNA from 1 species
GAAGCCGAGCUGCCGGAGGCGACCCCAGAGGAGCUGCAGUUCCUGAGCGAAGCCGAAUCCCAGCUGCUGCCCCGCUGCCCCUCCUCCCCCCCCCCGGCGGCGCCGCCCCCAAAUCGACCCCAAACUUCAGAUCCCAGCUGAGGAUUUCCGGGCUCAGCUGCACCCCACAGCGCACUGCGGCCCCAUGAUCGUCCCGGAGCUGCACCCCGAAUGGCGCCGGACCCCAAUGGAGCUUUUCAGGACCCCCACAGCGGGAUGGCUGCCCCCCGAGAUUUGGGAUCUGUGGGUCCGAGCCGCCCGCCCCACAGCGCCGGAACCCAGCGAGGUGGAGGUGAGUUGUGGGGCCGAUCUGUGGGGUGAGACCCACGGCUGUGGGGUUUUUAUGGGGUCAUUCUGUGGGGUGAGACCCACGGCUGUGGGGUCGUUCUGGGGGUUUUUAUGGGGUCUCUAUGGGGCACAGUGGGUCUCUAUGGGUUCUCUAUGGGGCCAUUCUAUGGGGUCAGACCCACAGCUAUGGGGUCGUUCUGUGGGUCUCUAUGGGGUGGCUAUGGGGUCACUAUGGGGUCUCUAUGGGGUCUCUAUGGGGCCAUUCUAUGGGGUCAGACCCACAGCUGUAGGGUCAUUCUGUGGGUCCUUAUGGGGUUUCUAUGGGGCACAGUGGGUCUCUAUGGGGUUUCUAUGGGGUCUCUAUGGGGUCAGAGCCACAGCUAUGGGGCCGUUGUGUGGGUCUCUAUGGGGUCUCUGUGGGGCACAAGGGGUUUUUAUGGGGUCUCUAUGGGGCACAGUGGGUCUCUAUGGGGUCUCUAUGGGGUCAGACCCACAGCUAUGGGGUCGUUCUGUGGGUCUCUAUGGGGUGGCUGUGGGGCACAGCGGGUCUUUAUGGGGUCCCUAUGGGGCCAUUUUAUGGGGUCAGAGCCACAGCUAUGGGGUCUUUAUGGGGUCUGUAUGGGGUCUCUAUGGGUCUCUAUGGGGUCAACCCCACAAACGCAUCCCAUAUAGGAACCCAGAGAAAUCCCGGAACCGAGUGUGGGGCUGCCACCCUCCUCAGAGCCCCGCCCCCUCUGCCCGAACUUCCGGAAGAGGCGGGACUUCCGCCGGUGGGCGUGGCUUCGUUGCGGCGGUCAGUGGGCGUGGCUUUUUGGGGGGGCGUGGCUUUAAGGCGCGGUUUGACCCCGCCCCCCUCCCCCCCAAACACUUCGUUCCUAUAGGGUGGCGCUGGAGGGGGCGGGGAGACCGGAAGGGGCGGAGCUUAGCGGGCUGCUCCCGAGAUCCGCCCCCCGGAAGUUGUGGGCGCGGCUCUUCCGGGUUUGUCUGGGUAAGGGGGAUGGGGGCGGGGCUUCGGCGGGUGGAGCCAAUGGGAUUUAAGUGA